GUCUCUGUAGCUUAACUAUCUUAAAGCAUUG
rnacentral:tRNA from 1 species